rnacentral:rRNA from 1 species
AGUGAACGCUGGCGGCGUGCCUAAUACAUGCAAGUCGAACGGAGUGGCGCACGGGUGAGUAAUGUAUAGCUAAUCUGCCCUACACUAGAGGACAACAGUUGGAAACGACUGCUAAUACUCUAUAGUGUAGGUUGAGGCUAUAUUGUAUCAGCUAGUUGGUGAGGUAAUGGCUCACCAAGGCUAUGACGCAUAACUGGUCUGAGGGGAUGAUCAGUCACCUCGGAACUGAGACACGGGCCGGGCUCCUACGGGAGGGGGCAGUAGGGUGUUCUACCCAAUGGGGGUAACCCUGAAGCGGCAACGCGGCGUAGAGGAUGACACUUUGCGGAGCAUAGACACCUUUUGUUAGGGGAGCGGUACCUAACGAAUAAGCACCGGCUAACUCCGUGCAAGCCGCCGCGGUAAUUC